UAUGAUAUUCCUGAUGCUGCAAAAAGGUGGGUUUUUUAUUCGAUUCAGAAUGCUUGGAGAAAGUAUAAGAAUCAACUAUUUAACGACCAUUAUAAACCCUAUGAGAAUGACGAGCUUCGAAUGGAGCAAAGGCCGGUUGAUGUUCCUGAAUCUCAAUUUAGGGAUCUUCUUAAUUAUUGGAACUCUGAUGCCAACAAGAAAAUAUCCCAAACCAAUACCGAGAAUCGCAAAAAGUUGAAAUAUCCACACACUGCUGGCAAAAGAAGUUUUGCUCGAAUAUGCGAGGAAAAAAAAGAAAGAAACUUCUGAGCCUCUAUCAAGCAAGGACAUCUUUGUGGCUACGAGAAAAAGAAAAGUUGAUCGAGUAUACAAGGCCUCGUAUGCGGAUACUCUUAAUAAAAUUGCUGAAAUGGAAAGAUUACAAUCAACACAAUAAAGUCAAGAUGGCAGUCAAUCAGUUGAUGCAUUUGCAUCAGUCAUGGGACCUGAGCAUCUAGGUCGCCUAAGAUUGUAUGGACGUGGGGUUACCAAGACAUCCUUAAAAAGAAAAGUGGGAGAUUUUGGGCCCUCUUUAAGUUCUACGGAUGAGGUGAUGCAGCAAAUAUUGGAUGAAAUGGAAGAAAGGAUGCAUCAAAGAUUACAGGAAAAGUUCAAUGCACAAAAAGAUGCCAUGGAACUACAAGUUGCAGUUAACAUUAUUUCACAACUUAAGCAUAUGAAUCCAGAUUUACGGGUUGAUCCCAGCAUGCUAGGUUUCAAUGCUCGUUCACCUGGAGAAGCUUCCUAUGCACAACAAGUUGUUGUGCAACUAAUCAAUCACCUAUCUACUAGGAGUAAUA